ensembl:lincRNA
UAGAGUGAGAGUAUAUUUAACUAUGAAUGAUCCUUAAAAAGGUUUUCAAUGUCAUUUUCUCAUUUUUUAUACAUUCUUCAAAUCAGAAAAUCAUGUAUAUGUAAGUAUAUAUGUCCACAUAUACAUAUGAUGUUAGAGUUUUUUCCUAUAUUUAUUGAACUUUUUUUUUUUACAAUUACCACAUGUACCCUUUUUCACUUUAACACAGCAUUCCCCAAACUUUUUGGCACCAGGGACCAGUUUUGUGGAAGGAAAUUUUUCACAGACCAGGGAUGGCUGGGGUCUUGCUCUGUCACCCAGGCUGCAGCGAUGGAAUGAUCAUAGAUCACUGCAGCCUUGACCUCCUGUGCUCAAAUGAUACUCCUGCUCAAAUCAGCCUAGGUCCAUAUGAGUCUCCCAAGCAGCAAGGAUUCAGGUGCCAGCCACUAUGACUGGCAUUUUUUUUUUUGGUAGAGACAGAAUCCCACUAUGUUGCCCAGGCUCCUAGGCUCCUAGGCUCAACUGACGUUACUGCCUCAGCCUACCAGAGUGCUGGUAUUAUAGGUGUAAGCCACCAUUAUUUUCUUAUGAUAAAUUUCCAGUGGUAGAAAGCUAUCGGGUUAAAGUAUACAUUGAAGAGAGGGUGUUAGUACACAAUAUAUAUAUAUUUGCAUUUUCUUGCAGUAAUAUAAAUUAUCCCAUUUAUUGCUGUUUUACACUGUUUCUUAAAGGUGAGGUGAGACUGAAUUUAAAACUAUGAUUAUUUUUCAUUAACGUACCUUCAUUUCUGAAAUGAUUUCAUGACAUUUUGCAGUGUUUCCAGUGAGUCAGUGAUUUUUAUUGUUUACUACUGUUUUUCACAAUUUGACAGCUUCAAGUUUUGAUGGCUUAUUUUCAUAUAUGUAAGUUAUAUUCUUUAAAUGUUGAUGUCAAAUCUAUUUAACUUUUUAUUAUAGUCACUAUUCUUAAUUAUUUGCAUACAAUUGUUACACUGUACAAUCAUUUGAAUAUUCACGUUAUGAUUUGUAUUUCUUUUUUUUUUUUUUUUGAGAUGGAGUCUUGCUCUGUCGCCCCAGGCUAGAGUGCAGUGGCGCGAUCUCGGCUCACUGUAAGUUCCGCCUCCCGGAUUCAAGCCAUUCUCUGUCCUCAGCCUCCCAAGUAGCUGGGACUACAGGCACCCGCUACUGCUCCCAGCUAAGUUUUUUUGUAUUUUUAAUAGAGACGGGGUUUCACCAUGGUCUCGAUCUCCUGACCUCGUGAUCCGCCCGCCUCAGCCUCCCAAAGUGCUGGGAUUACAGGCGUGAGCCACCACGCCUGGCAAUUAUGAUUUGUAUUUUUAAGUCUUGUUUAACUAUUUCCAGCUGAGUUAAUUAUUUUAAAGGACAUUGUCAGAAGUUUGAUUUUUUGCAAUUUUCCAAAUAAACCAAUAUCUAAUGACCAUUUAUUGAAUUAUUACAUUAUAAAAUUAAAAUGUGACUCCAAAUUAAAGUUGAGAGCUUCCUAUAAAAGGAAAAUUAUGUUCUUAGAAAUAAACAAUUUGUUGUUAUUUGUGUAGAACAUCUUGUGUAUUUUAAUCAGGUGGUAUUAAAGGGUAAACUGUCACCCUCCUACCAAGUAAACCUUGGUUGGCCAGUUAUGACUAUAUGUGAAUGGUAUACUAGUUAUUAAUCAAACUAGACAAAAAGCUAUAGAAAUAAACAAAAGACUUUAGUUCAUUUAAACACCUAUAGUUUGAAGUCGAUCGUGCCCAAAUUGUGACCAAACCACUUUAACAAACUGUAUAUUAUCAAACUUUUAACAUCAAUAGAAAAUUUUAUUUAAAUUUAGAUCAUAGUAAUGUUACAAUUUUAUGUGGAAAUAACCUUCAGAAGUAAGGGUAUUUUGAAUUAUUUUACUGUAGGUCAUUUCUGUUAUAAUAGAAAAUACUAUUAAAAUGAAAUGGUCUAACAAAAAUAUUUCUAAGUCUUGCUUUAUCCCUCAUGCACUUAAAACAGUAGAACAAAUUCCUUCUCAUCAACUACUUAGAUAGCUACUUGGUUUUCUUUCCAAUAAAAUAGAACUUUUUAUGUUUCACUGUGAAACCAAAAUAACUGCUAUAAAGUUAAUGAAUAGGUUUGAAUUCAUUACAAUCUCGGAAAAAGAAGCACUUUCUCUGUCUACCUCUGUUUUAGAGAUGAGUAUGAGAAAACGAACAUCUCUGAUUUAGGUAACGUCGGUUCAGAGAUUGAGUUUACUACACGCUUCCUGACUGUUAAGUGAUAUAUAGCUCACUUUUCAAACCUAAAAUAAAAUUUAAAUCAUAAAAAGGAGUAAAAGAGUUUCUUUACUUUUUUUUUUUUUUUUUUGUGAGUACGGAGUUUCGCUCUGCUGCCCAGGCUAGAGUGCAGUGACGUGAUCUCGGCUCACCGCAAGCUCCGCCUCUCAGGUUCAAGCCAUUCUCCUGCCUCAGCCUCCUGGGUAGCUGGGACUACAGGCGCCGGCCACCAGGCCUGGCUAAUUUUUUGUAUUUUUAGUAGAGACGGGGUUUCACCGUGUUAGUCAGGAUGGUCUCGAUCGCCUGACCUUGUGUUCCGCCUGCCUCAGCAUCCCAAAGUGCUGGGAUUACAGACGUUACUUUUCUUUUAGUUGUAAAUGGCUAAAAAUAUAUUUAGUAAUUGAAAGUUGCCUCAACACUUGUCCUAUGAAUGAUUUGGAUCUUUUCUAUUUUGCUUUGAGCUACGUGGCUAGGACUUUCUAGAGAGUUAAAAAAUAAUAAUACUAGGGACUUAGAUGAACUUUCACAGACUCAUUUAAUACAGUUUGUAGGACAUUUGCAAAUUCAUAAGAGCAGGAAAAGAAAUAGGGAUCAUUGUCACCAUUAUCACAAAUAAUUAUCCUUAUAUGUGAACUUUGUCUUGCAUCUUUUUGUUUUCCCGAUGUCCCUUGAGUGAAAGGGAAGGAGGAUGUUGGUGUUUAAUACAGAGCAUACCUGUUUGAAAGUUGAAUGUCUAGAAGUGAAAUCAGUUCACACAUUAUAAGGUGGGGCAUGUAAUCGAAAGUCUAAAAGUGGUGUAUAUUCCAAUUAUGUUUUUUGUUGGUGCUGCCUCUAUGGAGUCCAGGUAACCUGAUGUGAAUAUUCACAGAUAACUAGGAAGCCUGGAUCACAAGGUGGCACAUAAAGAAAGGCUAUAUAGUGUCAUCAGUUACCUUCAAAGGAUUUGGAGAAUUGAGCCAAGAAUAGAAACUUUUAUUUGGGGCUUAAAUAGAAGGUAAAGAGAAGGUGGUUAGGGCACAUGAGGCAAAACUAAUAAUGGAUUACUGACUGGACAUGGUCUGGAGAUUCCACAGUUAAGAUCUGGGGAGUGCUUGCAGUGAGCCAAGAUUGUGCCACUGCACUCCAGCCUGGGCGACAGAGAGAGACUCCGUCUCAAAAAAAAAAAAAAAAGAAAAGAUCUGGGGAGUAAAUAUGUAUUGGAGAGUCUCAGAUUUUCUGACAGGAAGAUAGUAUCCUUAUAGGGUAGAUGGAGAAUAUCAUCCCAUAGCUUAUUUAAUAAUAAAGUUUGUAUAUUGUUUCAAUUAUAAAGUGUGAAUAUUUGAAGUUUAUAAAAUGAUAUGGGAACCAUGCAGAUACAUUAAAAGGCAGUGUUCAGAACUUGUAGGAAUUACACUAGGUUGCUAAGACAUAGAUUAGUAGAGCUGGGAUGAGACCUCA